UUCCCGAACGUCGCUCUCAAAACCCAGAUGCACGUGCUUCUUUCGUUUCCGUAUAAAGUAUUUGUAUGUAUAGGUAUACGAGCCGACCAGUCGAUGACGAGUGUGGAGGCCCUAAAAAGUCGCGUUUCUCUUAGCGGUCAAGAACACGACGAUGGAGCGAUUAGGAGAGUGUAUACUGUUCGAACGGAGUCUGCCAGUUCCAUUCAAAGUUGUCGUUCAAUUCUCGACUCGAAGGGAUAAAAUCCCGGUUCCGUUGCGAAGACGAUCGCUAUUCGAGGCACGUUCUCGAGUCGAUCCUUCAUCUCGAAGAGAAGACUGGUGGAAAGACGCACCGACACGCGACUUGGCUGAUAGUAUAAACCAAUUACGAUUACGACCACGAUGACCUACUGCUAUGAAAGCAAAAAAAAUAAAUAAAUAAAUAAAUAAAUAAUAAAAACUGGUUAAUCGAUUAUAACAGUAUUACACACUUUGGAAACAACGGACGGAAUUGUGUGGCGUAAAACUACCGAAAUCUAAACACAGUUACUUCCGGUUCGAUUCGGAGGCGCAGACGACGAUAAACAUUUAUCACGGAGAUCUCGACUCGCAGGUGUCGUUGGAGAACGUCGAGGAGGAGCCCGCGAUAUUUCGUCCGAAGUGGUUCGAGAGGACCCCGUCGAUUUUCAAAAGGCCGAUCAACUUCGCCGGAAACGCGCCACUUUCACUCGACUUCCCCGACGACGAGGAGGAUCGGAAUCGACCGUAACCGACGAAAUAAUACGCAUCGCGACUACGAUGAAAGUCGACGACGACGACGACGACGACGACGACCCUCGUUGAAACUUCGGAUCCCGGACUACUUCGAGACGCCCGGAGGCUUCACGAACACCGUUGCACGUGCCCGGAUGUUCUUGCUUUUCAUUCCCUCCUCUUCUGCGGCAUUAUCGUCGUCGUCGUCGUCGUCGUUGUCGUCGCGCAUGAGGCUGCGAGAAACGCCGAAAAAAUCCCGCCGACGAGAAGGACGCUGUGCAGUGCAGCAAAAGCGAUCAAGCCAAAAGCCUCCUCUCGUCUUAGCAUCUUUACAGCAGACGGAUUUUAAGUGAGCUGGCCGUGGAGUGACAACUUCCAGAUUCUGAUGGACUCGGAUUUCGAGACUCGCUCUUCGCUGCGGAUUUUGAAUCAACUUCUGAAGUACCAAAGAUCACCUCCAUCACCAUCUUGCGGAGAUCUGGGUCUGUGUCCAAUCUGCUACGUGAUUCAUGUGAUUUUCCCUCAUCGUCAAAUUUUUCCUCCAGCUGUUUGCCAUCUGAGGAAUAGACAAAAGUCUCUAUGAGAAAAAAAUUCUAUCAAAACAUUCAAAAAUUUCCAAGAUGACGGUACACACUCCAGGGAUUGACGAACGCACUAGUGCAGCAAGGACAUGGAUACCAUGUUCGAUAUGCAAGAUGAAGUGAUUUCAUAUGGAAGGUUAAUGUCUUUCUUGUAGCAAACUUUGCGUUACCUUGAAUACGUAAAGGAUGUUGUGAAAAUUAUCAAUCAAAAUUCGAGAAUUUCAGAGAGUGUAAGUGAGCGUUGGAAUAUGUCAUACUUACAUACUGAACACACCAAAUUACGAGAGUCUUGUGUGUUUGG